ACAGCUCAGUUGGUAGAGCGUCUGAUUUGUGUGCAGAAGAGCCCAGGUUCAAUCUCUAGCAUCUCAA